CCCUUAGAUGUUCUGGGCCGCACGCGCGCUACACUGAUACAUGCAACGAGUUUAUAACCUUGAUCUGACGGUCUGGGUAAUCUUCAAACUGUAUCGUGUUAGGGAUCGAUUCUUGCAAUUUUUAAUCGUAAACGAGGAAUUCCUAGUAAACGCAAGUCAUCAGCUUGCAUUGAUUACGUCCCUGCCCUUUGUACACACCGCCCGUCGCUACUACCGAUUGAAUGAUUUAGUGAGGACUUCGGACUGGGACCGAUGCGGCUUUCGGGCUGCGUCGGUAUUCUGGAAAGAUGUCCAAACUGUAUCAUUUAGAGGAAGUAAAAGUCGUAACA
rnacentral:rRNA from 1 species